GCCGUACACGCCUUCGCAGCCCGCUCGUGUUGGCGAGCCACCGGGCAGCAGAAAGAGGCGGCCAGCCGACGCCUGCCCUUCGGCCGAAUGACCCACCGCUGCCGCGCCGCCACCUCUGCACCUGCCUGGCUGAGGAAAGGAAAAGACUUUCGGGGGUUUAGAAGAAGACAAGUCUUCCGGCUUGCCCUUGGGGCCCGCCCCAAAGAGCGAAGGAAGCCCAGUGGGUACGUGGCGGGCGCCCUAUGCGUCUUGCAGGGAAAGUAGGCUGCAGACACGCGAGAGAAAAAACAACUACACUCCGCCUCUUGGCUCCACAAUAACCGUGCAGCGAAAACGGAGAGAAGGUCAGCCCCUCUCCAGGACUCAGCCCAACCUGGAUUCAGCUUCUUCGGCCGCACAAACUCCCAAGCUCUGAGAACACGCGGCGCACCCCGCGCGCCUCGCGGCGAAGGCACUCGGGCCACACUGCUGAGUUCUCCCCGUGGCGAAUGCGCUUCGCUUAAGGAAAGCAAUUGAGAGCCGGAAGGAGUCCAACCUAAUCGACCAGGCCUGCAGAGUCGCCUAGUUGGCCUGUCACAUAUCCACAGUCAAGAUCCUCGCUAUUCUCUGCCCAGAGAGCCUGGGAUUGACCCGGAAGCCCCGAAUAAUUCGAAUCCUAUCCUAGUUCACUCCAGUCCUGGCAGCAGAAGCGACCUGCAGCCUGAGAGCAGGGGAGGCUGACAAGGAGCCUCUGGCAGCUACUUGAGUAGGGACAAGGCGAUUUGGUGGUGUCUCCGAGGUUUAUGUGGAUAUCUGAUGACCCGACGUCCUGUCGGUG
ensembl:lncRNA